AGAUAAUUAGGUUUAUAUGAGGUCAGAGUGAGAUUAUAAAAAUACGACACAGAGCCUGCUCUUUCCCUGCCAUGUGAAGACCCAGAAAGAAGGUAGCUGUCUGCACACACUGAAGCAAGCUCUUCCGUGAACCUGCCAAGUCCUCAAACCUCUUAAACUGGGAAACCAGCUCCUGUUGUUUCAUUGUCCCAGUCGAUGGUGGUACCCUGUUGUGAUAAGUUGGAUUUGGCAAAGAUACACUCCAUGUGACGAUGUCACAGACUCCUGGUCUAUGACAGGUUGAGCCUUUAGGUCUUCUGCCUGGAAUCUUGUGUGGCUGUUUUCUGUCCAGUGAUCUUUCUCCAUGGCAUUCUUGCAAGCUAACAGGAUUUGAAAUGGAUGUGCACUCCCUACCAUUUUUGUUGCCAAGGGAGCACACAUCUGCCCUGGAAAACCUUCCUGUGGAGUAAUGUCAGCAAAGACAGAUGAAUGAGAGUACACACAGUUCUGGAAUAAUAGUGCAAUUUUGCUAAAGGAUGACGUCAUCUCUUUGCCAUUGUAUCUGCCAUCCUAAGUAGCCCAAAAUCCACCCAGGCUGGAGAAUGAAUUACAAGGACAUCACGCUGGCAAGGGUGACACCAGGGAAGCGUGCGCUGGGCUUUCUUUGGAUACAAAGAAAAGAAUGUCAUCAUCCCAAAAAAGUAGUUUGUGACUCUGUACUGGUUUUGGAGGCGACACACACUCAGGCCAAAAUAAUCUUCAUCCACACAGCAUUGGACCAAGAUGAUGACUCUCAAAUGGAAGCCCUAAGAUUAUGUGCAGUUGCAGAGAAGCUAGUAAACAAGGAGGACCCUAAGAGAGACAUACAU
rnacentral:lncRNA from 1 species